UCGAACGGUAACAUAGCUAGCUUGCUAGCUGAUGACGAGUGGCGGACGGGUGAGUAACGCGUAGGAAUCUACCUAAUAGUGGGGGACAACCUGGUGAAAACCAGGCUAAUACCGCAUACGCCCUACGGGGGAAAGCAGGGGAUCUUCGGACCUUGCGCUAUUAGAUGAGCCUGCGUUAGAUUAGCUUGUUGGUGAGGUAAUGGCUCACCAAGGCGACGAUCUAUAGCUGGUCUGAGAGGAUGAUCAGCCACACUGGGACUGAGACACGGCCCAGACUCCUACGGGAGGCAGCAGUGGGGAAUAUUGCGCAAUGGGCGAAAGCCUGACGCAGCCAUACCGCGUGUGUGAAGAAGGGUUUAGGCUCGUAAAGCACUUUAAGUAGGGAGGAAGGCCUGUAAAUUAAUACUUUGCAGGAUUGACGUUACCUACAGAAUAAGCACCGGCUAACUCCGUGCCAGCAGCCGCGGUAAUACGGAGGGUGCAAGCGUUAAUCGGAAUUACUGGGCGUAAAGCGCGCGUAGGCGGUUUGUUAAGCGAGAUGUGAAAGCCCAGGGCUCAACCUUGGAACUGCAUUUCGAACUGGCAGGCUAGAGUACAAGAGAGGGUGGUAGAAUUUCCUGUGUAGCGGUGAAAUGCGUAGAUAUAGGAAGGAAUACCAGUGGCGAAGGCGGCCACCUGGCUUGAUACUGACGCUGAGGUGCGAAAGCGUGGGGAGCGAACAGGAUUAGAUACCCUGGUAGUCCACGCCGUAAACGAUGUCAACUAGCCGUUGGAGUCCUUG
rnacentral:rRNA from 1 species